rnacentral:lncRNA from 1 species
UGGAUUUAGUAGUCAGAUCUUCACCUGUCUGCCUGCAAUACAGGGGGUGCUCUGCAGCAGAGAGCUGAGGGAUGGAGGGAUCAAGUGAAUCAAACCAGAGUGUCUUGUCCGCGCACACCAUCCAGACUGGAAGACAACUACUCAGUUAGAAGCUCCAGACUGGAGGACAACAUGGUUGAUGAACACACCCGGAAUUGGGCAGAACAGUCAUUAGGCAAAGUGCCCUCUAGAGGUGAGGAAGCUACACAGGGCAAGCAAUAGAUCUUAUAACACUGCAUUGGUGCUCCAAUUGUAUUUU